rnacentral:rRNA from 1 species
ACCUAAAAAARCCGCRCGGACGACGAGACACGAAUGCKCCCUUCKAGKKCCRGAAGACAGACCGACCUCCAGGCGGAUCACCUGCCACCAACGAAGGCCCAUCCAUUGWUCGAAGCUCGCGUUGCUGGAGCGAGAGGCGCKCGGCGGGAACGCCCCAACCGCCUCCAGCUCCAAUAGCGUAUAUUAAAGUUGUUGCAGUUAAAAAGCUCGUAGUUGGAUUUCGGAAGGUCCUUAGCAAUCCGCCCCUUCGGGGAGCGGGUUGCUGGCCUCCUAUGUUCCUAACGGUCCUCAUCCGCGAGGGUGGGGAAUCAACCGCUAGGAUCGUUUACUUUGAGGAAAUUAGAGUGUUCAAAGCAGGCGUAACUCGCCUCCGAAUACGUUAGCAUGGGAUAAUGGAAUACGACUUCGGUCUUGUUUCGUUGGUUUCGCUUGGCUGAAGUAAUGAUUGAUAGGGACAGUUGGGGGCAUUAGUAUUUAGUUGUCAGAGGUGAAAUUCUAGGAUUUACUAAAGACUGACCAAUGCGAAAGCAUUUGCCAAGGAUGUUUUCAUUAAUCAAGAACGAAAGUAGGGGGAUCGAAGACGAUCAGAUACCGUCGUAGUCUCUACCGUAAACUAUGCCGACCAGGGAUCCGGAGAGUUUGCAUGGAUGACUCCCCGGGCACCUUGUGAGAAAUCAUAAGUGUUUGGGUUUUGGGGGGAGUAUGGUCGCAAGGCUGAAACUAAAGGAAUGACGAAGCUCUACRGGGC